CUACUUUAUAUCCUUCCUUUCAGUCAGAUUAUUAGCAGAAAUGGCCUUAACUUCCACUGUUAUGCAGAUGAUAUACAGUUAUAUCUUAGUACAGGCUCAACUACAGAUUCACAUCCCAGCACACUCACUGACUGCAUCACUGAUCUUAAGCUAUGGAUGGAAAAUAACUUUCUCAAACUUAAUGCCAAUAAAACUGAAGUUGUUACUGGUAGGUCCAAAAUCCCAACUUUCUAAGGAAUCCAAUUUCUCUAUUUCUGUUGAUGGUACGCUUGUCAAACCUGCUCCUGUUGUCAGAAAUCUUGGUGUUUUGUUUGAUUCAUCACUUAACUUUGAGCUACACAU